rnacentral:rRNA from 1 species
GGGCUUGGCGGUGUUUUAGACCUCUCAGGGGAACCUGUCUCGUAAUCGACAAUCCACGAUAAACCUAACCUUUAAUGGCAGUUCAGCCUGUAUACCGUCGUCGUCAGGUAACUUCUUAAAAUAUAGUAGUUAGCUUGAGAAUUAUAUUAAUUAAAACGUCAGAUCAAGGUGCAGCCAAUGAAGAGGUGAGGAUGGGUUACAAUUACAUAUUUGUAAAUACGGAAAAAUGUUUGAAAUGAAGUGUCUUAAAGGAGGACUUGAAAGUAAUUUUAUUUAUAUAAAUAGAAUGAAUAGGGCUCUGAAACGUGCACACAUCGCCCGUCGCUCUCGUUGAAAAAUGAGAUAAGUCGUAACACAGUAGGGGUAAUGGAAAUUGUUCCUAGGC